rnacentral:rRNA from 1 species
GCGCAACAGUCGAGAAUUUUCUCAAUGGGGGCAACCCUGAAGGAGCGACGCCGCGUGGAGGAUGAAGGCUUUCGGGUUGUAAACUCCUGUCAUUUGAGAACAAGUGCCAACAAGUAACUACUGUUGGCUUGAUAGUAUCAGAAGAGGAAGGGACGGCUAACUCUGUGCCAGCAGCCGCGGUAAUACAGAGGUCCCAAGCGUUGUUCGGAUUCAUUGGGCGUAAAGGGUGCGUAGGUGGCGUGGUAAGUCGGGUGUGAAAUUUCGGAGCUUAAA